rnacentral:tRNA from 1 species
GGCCGGGUAGCUCAGUUGGUGAGAGCGCAGGAUUCAUAACCCUGAGGUCGGCAGUUCAAUUCUGCCCCCGGCUACCA